rnacentral:rRNA from 1 species
UACAGAGGGUGCAAGCGUUGUUCGGAAUUAUUGGGCGUAAAGGGCGCGUAGGCGGUUCGGCAAGUCUCUAGUGAAAUCUCUGGGCUCAACUCAGAGUCUGCUGGGGAAACUGCCGGGCUUGAGUGUGGGAGAGGAGAGUGGAAUUCCCGGUGUAGCGGUGAAAUGCGUAGAGAUCAGCAGGAACACCCGUGGCGAAGGCGGCCUCCUGGGCCGCGCCUGACGCUGAGACGCGAAAGCGUGGGGAGCGAACGGU